GACAGAGGGUGCAAACGUUGUUCGGAAUUACUGGGCGUAAAGCGAGUGUAGGCGGUCUGUAAAGUCGGGUGUGAAAGCCCCGGGCUCAACCCGGGAAGUGCACUCGAAACUCACAGGCUAGAGUAUCGGAGAGGUUGGUGGAAUUCUCGGUGUAGAGGUGAAAUUCGUAGAUAUCGAGAGGAACGCCGGUGGCGAAAGCGACGCACUGGACCUCUUCUGACGCUGAGGCGCGAAAGCCAGGGGAGCAAACGGG
rnacentral:rRNA from 1 species